CUGAGUGUGAUUUUGUUUUUACUUCAUUUCUCUUUUAGACUUCAACCUCUUGACUCUAAAGCAAUGGAAAAAAAGGUCAGAGACUCUUUACGUAACUCUACAAACUUGUUGAAUGAAUAACUGAGCUGCCUCUUCCCCUCUCUGAACACGGAGUUCCUGCCACCUAGAAAGCUCUCGGUCUGUGAAGGACUUAGAGAAUCUCCCAUAUUGGAAACUGUCACAGCAUGAGCCGGUUAUGUGCAGCUGAUGAUUUUUGAGGGCAAAGAUUUGUCUUUGUAGAUUUUAUCAGGUAAAACCCAGUUCCACUUAGAAAUCAACAUCAAAACUAAGAUUUUAUUUAAA
rnacentral:lncRNA from 1 species